GGUAUCCCGGUGGAUUGAAAACCCGAAAAGGGCGAUCCAGGCAAAAGUUAGGGAUUAAGCGAAUGACUGCGUUCUGAGUAGUUCUGAAUCUCAUCUCGUGUCAAUGACUGGAAACUUUUGAAGGAUAGGAAACAGUCCAAUCACUCUUUUAGAAAGCUGAUCAUCUGGAGGAUCUUGAAGACGAGCAAGUCAUAGCAGAAUUGGAACCCAAU
rnacentral:lncRNA from 1 species